rnacentral:rRNA from 1 species
AUACGUAGGGAGCGAGCGUUGUCCGGAAUUACUGGGUGUAAAGGGUGCGUAGGCGGGACUGCAAGUCAGAUGUGAAAUGCCGGGGCUCAACCCCGGAGCUGCAUUUGAAACUGUGGUUCUUGAGUGAGGUAGAGGUAAGCGGAAUUCCUAGUGUAGCGGUGAAAUGCGUAGAAAUUAGGAAGAACAUCGGGGGCGAAGGCGUCUUUGUGGACGGUAACUGACGCUGAGGCGCGAAAGCGUGGGUAGAGAACAGGAUUAGAUCCCCUGGUAGUCCACGCCGUAAACGAUGGAUACUAGGGGUAGGGGGUAUCAACUCCCUCUGUGCCGCAGUUAACACAAUAAGUAUCCCGCCUGGGGAGUACGGUCGCAAGAUUAAAACUCAAAUGAAUUGACGGGG